rnacentral:lncRNA from 1 species
UUUGCAUCUGCAUCUCUUUUUCAACUUUGUAAAUAUUGUGCUCUGCUCUUCCUUUCACCUCUCCUCAACUGCCGGGUUUAGCUUACCGUCGAUUGUACUGGUAUCGUGAGUACUAUCUCAGAAUCGAGUCUUCAAUUUUCCGUGCUUCAUUAUCUGGUCAUUGCGGAUUCUAUUUCCAUUCCCAUUUGACUCGUUCCCUUGAAGCCACAUUGAUUGUGUUGUUUCUUUACAAUAAUCUGCCCUCAGAUUCCCAUCUUUCUGGGUUGGGGGUCGUUGAAGAGCAACUAAAUCCGUUCCCAUCUUUUUCCUCUGACAUUUUCAGCAUACAAUAUUAUUUAUGAUGUCUUGGUGAUUUCCUCAAAACUAGAUUUACUAAUGAAGUCUGUUGAUUUACUGCAAUCGCUUCAUCAUCUAGUCCAUGAGGAUAUGUAGGUUCCCAUACGACUCGUUCCCUUGAAGCUAUAUCACUCUGUGUUGCUCUCCUUUCUAUUAUUUGCUCGAUUUCCCAAUCCCUUUUACCGGCGAGAAAAUCUGGGGAGCAACUACAUUUGGUCUUUUUGAAAGCUGACUAUUUGUGAUUCCCUAAUCAACAUUUGAUGUCAGAUAGAUUGGUAUGCUGAUUCGUGCUACCAGACUCCAAAUGUUUUGCAUUUGGCCACUGAAUCGUCUGUGCAAAUAUUAAAAAAAAAGAAUUGUGUGGAAUUCGAAAGCAAUUUAGACAACUCUAUAGUAGAAGUUCAACUGUGCUGCUACUCACACUAACUAUAAUGUUUGACGUAAGAAACCCACUUUAUAAUUAAAGUGGUAUUGUAAUAGAGUAGUGCUAUCAACGACAGAGUUGAAUGAGCUGAAGCUGAUGGUGUUAGUUCUCUUUUGAAGGACAAUGAUGAAUGAGCUGAGCUUAAACCAUCCAGUUUGAUCAGGCAACUUGAAAAAAUGGAGGAAUGCCUACCCUCCGGAGUGCAACCACGGCAGGACAGCUCAAGAGAAUGGAGAAAUGCCUGCUGUGGUUGGAGUAAUCUGCCGCCCCUAGCACCCACGAACAGAGUUAGGGACGGAGGCCCCUAACCUCUUGGAGUGAAACUGUGGCAGUUUGUACGAUCUUUGGGUUGAUUUGAGAGGUCGAUCUUUGGUUCGACUUGAGAGCAUCUUUUCAUUAACCUUAUUAGGAAAAAGAUAUUCCUUUGGUAAUUGAUAUUAGCUGGACAAAUUAACGUGUAGUUGUAACUUGUAACUGGUUUCCAUUUUUGGAUUACUAUGAGCAUCGAUAUUAAUAAUAUUUACCCUCUGAAAAUUUACAUUGCUAUGAUACUUAGUAUCCCUUUCUUUUGAUAAAUGUCAUCAUCCACUUCUUUCAUUAUUCGUACGCAGUGGAAUGCCAACAAUAAGAAGACAAACUUGCUAAAAUAAAUUAUAUUCUUCCAACUUGUUGCUUUGAAAUAAUGAAAACUGAUACCAUCUCACAAUUAAAAAUUACAGAGUAAACUAAUAACCACUUGUUAAAUUUUAGAUGCACCAUCAACUAACUCUCUUGGCAAAGGUGCACAUGGAUGGAACUCGAUCGUAGGAUGACAGAAGCCACCGGAAGGAAGGAUGCAUGCAUAUAUGGUUGAUGGUGCAUGAUGGUUA